rnacentral:tRNA from 1 species
GGGAAGUUAGCUUAACGGUUAGAGCCCGCACCUCAUAAGUGCAGUGAUGUCUGUUCGACUCAGACACUUCCUACCA